CAGCCGCCGCGGUAAUACGAAGGGGGCUAGCGUUGCUCGGAAUCACUGGGCGUAAAGGGUGCGUAGGCGGGUCUUUAAGUCAGGGGUGAAAUCCUGGAGCUCAACUCCAGAACUGCCUUUGAUACUGAAGAUCUUGAGUUCGGGAGAGGUGAGUGGAACUGCGAGUGUAGAGGUGAAAUUCGUAGAUAUUCGCAAGAACACCAGUGGCGAAGGCGGCUCACUGGCCCGAUACUGACGCUAAGGCACGAAAGCGUGGGGAGCAAACAGGAUUAGAUACCCCUGUAGUCCCUGUCUCUUAUAC
rnacentral:rRNA from 1 species